GCGCCGGUGGUGUAAGGCGAACAUCGCUGCCCGGAAAGCAGAAGAUGUGGGUUCGAGUUCCGCCUGGAACU
rnacentral:tRNA from 1 species